CUGAAACCCCACAAAAGCUGAACAGCUCGAGAACACAGAGACCAGAAAUCCAGAACAGGAAAGAGAAUUGGUUCUGGAACUCAGAACCGUGCACGGAGCUUCGGCGGUGGGACGCGGGGCCGGACACCAAGGCGGCAUCCGGAGAUAGGGGAGCGGGGAGGAGGGCGGCCUGCGAGUACUUUACCCGAGUCUCCCCCCGGCAGCGAGCGGGGCAGCGUGAGGGUGAACACGGCAGCCACGGCGGCGAACACGGCCACGCUGCCGCGGAGGCCCCCGGAGCGCCACGGCCCCGCUUCGGCUGCCGGGCCCCCGCCGUCGCCAUGGAGACCCAUGAGCCGGGACGCGCGCCGCUCGCGGACCGUGACCCCUCGCAGCGGCGCGGACCUUCCCUGGCCGAGAGGCGCGCGCAGCCCGCGCCGGCUUCCGGUCUAGCAGGGCGGAGCGGACUGUACCUUCGCCCGCCGGGUCGGGGAGGAGGAGAUGGCGGGCGCGCCCCAGCGCGGCUUAGGAGUCUUCUGGGGGCCACUGCGCGUGGUAGUGUGUCUGCCGCUGUGUGCUUUGAAACAAAGAAUCACAAGGGAGCAUAAUUCCUGAGGACAUCAGUCAUGGUCGAGGCCUACUCACGCUAUGCAGUGUAUAUCUCCCCCUUUCCUCACGGACUUGGUCGGUUCCGACAGAGACGGAAGCGGCGUCGAUAACGGCGAGCAGAAAGCGCUGCUCUGCCCCCUGUGGCCUGGGGUGGAACUGUAUAAAAGAGUUCCCCUAGAAACCCAACCAUGAAAGAGGCAAAGUAGAGAUUGCAACCAGCUUGUCUACACAAGUGACAGGCAUACUGCGCACACUGCCAUUGCCAGGGUGUCCGGCCCUAGUUCCUGUGAAGCUACCUGAAAAGGACGUCUUUUCUCCCAAGCAGAAAAAGAUGGAUGAGCACUUUAAGGAUUCUGGAAUUGUGACAGCAUUAUGGAGAAAUGCUCAAUCCCAGAGGUGGCUAAGCUCCUUCAUUCCUGGGCCCAGGUCAAGGGUAUGAAGGACCAGGCUGGAUCCCAGAACCUUCACAAGAUACAAAAUAUGACCCCUUGUCUGACAGAAAGACAGACUGAGCAGAGAUUUUGUAAGCAGAAGGAGGCAAAUAUCUUGAAAUAAUGUGGUAUGAAAUAAAUCAUCGAGGCUGAGACAUGACCGUGAGAAGCAGCUGGAGAGCUGUGAGAAAGGAAUCCCAUACUGAGCACCUGGGGAGGACGGAAGAUAGACGGCACGCAGGGCAUUACGUAGAAGAGAUUGACAGUGGACUCGGAGGCAUGCUCUGAGACAAAAGGAUUUGUUGAUGUUCCAUCACUCCCAAAGCUCUGGCAUGCAAGGACUUGGAGGAAACUCCACACUUAAAAAGCUACUGUGGUGAGCCUGCAUGGCUUUUCCUGGAAGGACUUUCUAAAAACACAAGGACCGGAUUAAAGGAGGCCUCUAGUCAGUACUGUCUCUCAUCUGCUCAGCUGAAGUUUCCAAAGUUUCAGGCCCACUGUGUGUCCCUUUAAGUUGAACAUGGCUGGUGGUUUCUGAGACCCCUUUCUGUAGACAGAGCCCCAUCCUCACUCCUAGGGCAGUCUCAAACGGACCAGGCUGUGUGAAAUGUUUUCAUUUUCCAUUGACUGGUUGUGUAUUUCCCUUGUGUUAAUCCCUUGUUAAUGGACACUUUCUUUGAACCAGCUGA